rnacentral:lncRNA from 1 species
GUCCUCUGAAGAGAGUAAAACACUUAAAGCAACACCAGAAUUCUCUUGGGAUAUGUGAGGACAACAGCUGCCUGCGUGUGCUGGAGACCUUGGACGAAGUUCCCAAGUCCUAUCCACAGCUACAGGUUUGAAGUGACGUCUAACUUACAAGAAGCAGCAAGAGUCAUCUAAAGAGCUUUGGACACAGCCAGGCCCUCCCGCCUUCACGUGCUUUUCCCUGUGUUUCUAUGAACACACUGUCAUGGGGUUUCCUGGCCAUUUCAGAGCCAGUUGCCGGCAUGACUCCCUUGGUCCUUAGACGUUCUCCUGUGUUUCCCCCGAGGCCAAGGAUGUCCUCUAGCACAGCCUCAGCGCAGCGAGCAGAAUCACGGCACUGGCGCCGGCACACACUGUCGUCUGCUCUGUCGUCUGCAGUUCACCAAUGCCGGGUCCUUGCCAGGCCGCCUCUGUCUCUUCUGACAAGGAGCCUGCAACAAAUAGUGUCAGACACCAUACUGUGGUCUCAUCACUGCUGAGCUCUGCCCGGGAUCCUGGAACUCUCCAGCUACCUCCUCUUCUUAGGAGUGGACAUGGGACACCUCCGUACAUUCAGUCAGUAUAAGGUUGUGGUGUGCCCGUUGUAUGCCAGGAAUUAUCUUCUCAGCAGCAAAAGAAUCUCUAUAUUUUGGGGCCAUGUGAAGAACAAAACGAUGAUGUGUACGAGGUUCUUGCCAAACUGCGUGGUGCAGAGAAGCCCUGGAGAAAGGGUGACAGUGUCGCUCUGGAGGCUGUGCCGGUUCCAGGACGCUUCCUCUGGGACCCCCUGUGCUUCCUGCCACCCUCCCCCAGGGUAAUUUCUUAUCUUUCCCCAAUUGCAUUUUGAUAUUCCCUUGUUAAGAUUUUACUAUUUUUCAAACGAUCCAAAGGUAAUUAAAACUCUAGCCAUUGGAAAUGGCAGUUCUAACAAGUAGUCCUAGAGUCAUCGUAACCUCAUGGGUGCUGCCAUGGAACCAUCUUAUCCACACUGGGAAAGUCCCUGACACGCCCAUAAAGGCCUGUUCAUCCGGUGUGCACACCAAGUGUCCUCUGCAUUCCAAGGACUGUGAGAAGCACAGACACGUUACAGAGAACGAAAUGAAAACAAUACUGCCUUCAACGAACUGGUGGCCAGGUAAAAUCCUAACUACAGAGAAUGAUUGGGAAGGAUCAACUGGAGGAGAUAACAUGUGAGAUGGCCAGGUAAAAUCCUAACUACGGAGAAUGAUCAGAAAGGAUCAGUUGGAGGAGAUAACACGUGAGCUGGCCAGGUAAAAUCUUAACCGCAGAGAAUGAUCGGGAAGGAUCAGUUGGAGGAGAUAACAGGUGAGCUGGCCAGGUAAAAUCCUAACCGCAGAGAAUGAUCGGGAAGGAUCAGUUGGAGGAGAUAACACGUGAGCUGGCCAGGUAAAAUCCUAACCGCAGAGAAUGAUCGGGAAGGAUCAGUUGGAGGAGAUAACACGUGAGCUGGCCAGGUAAAAUCCUAACCGCAGAGAAUGAUCGGGAAGGAUCAGUUGGAGGAGAUAACACGUGAGCUGGCCAGGUAAAAUCCUAACCGCAGAGAAUGAUCGGGAAGGAUCAGUUGGAGGAGAUAACACGUGAGCUGGCCAGGUAAAAUCCUAACCGCAGAGAAUGAUCGGGAAGGAUCAGUUGGAGGAGAUAACAUGUGAGCUGGCCAGGUAAAAUCCUAACUGCAGAGAAUGAUCGGGAAGGAUCAGUUGGAGGAGAUAACACAUGAGCUGGACUUUUAAGGAGGAGAAGUCUCCAGCUUUAGAAAGCCAACAAGAGGAGUGUUUAAUGCAAAGAAGCUCAUAAACCCACCCUUAGGUAGAAAUGAUCCUAACCUGUGGAAGCUUCUGGAUUGAGCGAGGGACCAGCAGGCGUAAGCAGACUGGGAUGGUCAUUCCUCCCAGACCUUACAUGCUGCGCUGAAGAAUUUCUGUUUUUCUCCAAGUGAGAUGGGAAGCCUUUGAAAGGUUUUUACCAGGACAGGACCAGAAUACCUUUUAUAUUAUUAGAAGGCUGGCAUGGCCACAGGGAAAGAACAGUCUUUUAGUCAGUGAGAAUGGGAGGGUGGAAAACAGUCAGAAGAACAUUGCAGUUGUCCAGGAAAGGGAGGACAGUGACCUGAGCCUGUGCAGUGGCCGGGAGG